GAUGAACGCUGGCGGCGUGCCUAAUACAUGCAAGUCGAGCGAAUGAUGAGGAGCUUGCUCCUCUGAUUUAGCGGCGGACGGGUGAGUAACACGUGGGUAAUCUGCCUGUAAGACGGGGAUAACUCCGGGAAACCGGGGCUAAUACCGGAUAACAAAAGAAGAUGCAUAUCUUCCUUUUGAAAGUCGGUUUCGGCUGACACUUACAGAUGAGCCCGCGGCGCAUUAGCUAGUUGGUGAGGUAACGGCUCACCAAGGCGACGAUGCGUAGCCGACCUGAGAGGGUGAUCGGCCACACUGGGACUGAGGCACGGCCCAGACUCCUACGGGAGGCAGCAGUAGGGAAUCUUCGGCAAUGGGCGAAAGCCUGACCGAGCAACGCCGCGUGAGCGAUGAAGGCCUUCGGGUCGUAAAGCUCUGUUGUUAGAGAAGAACAAGUACGAGAGUAACUGCUCGUACCUUGACGGUACCUAACCAGAAAGCCACGGCUAACUACGUGCCAGCAGCCGCAGUAAGAC
rnacentral:rRNA from 1 species